rnacentral:lncRNA from 10 species
CGAGAGGACAGCGGACGGGAGGAAGGCAGCCGACUUGGGGCGGCCUGUCCCACUGAGAAGCCCCAGGUUUGCAUUGGGUUUACAGCCUGGGAGUGUGGAUGGUGAUGUAUGACCACAACUCGGCUUCAAGUGCCAGUGCUUGGGGUGCGGGUUGGGUAUGGUGGUGGUUAAAAGCUGGUAUUCAGCUUUGCACGAAGAACUGGAAGGCUAGAUCACCCAGGGCCGCGCAUCGUGAUGCAGCAUAAAAUUCCAAGAAUUUUCGUUGCUGGCUUUAAAUACUUGUAACACUGUAGAAGAAAUCCACGCGUUUUCUUCUCUAAAUCUAAGCAAUCUUUUGUCAUUAGAGUGCAGACCUGCAAAAGUAGAAAGAAUGUGUUUACAGUGGCUGGGCUCUCGGCCAUUAGAUUUUCACUAUAAACAUGUUGAGUGUCCAUUUACAGAACACAUAUCCCAGGGGCAUUCCAAAAGAGUGGAGGAGUCAAAGAUUCAGUGGAUUAACAGAGCCUUGUGAGCUUCACUUCACAGUGAGGAAUGGGGGGCAGGCACAUGAUAAAGCCAUUUCCCUCAAAGAGCUUACUUGAGGGUAUAAGACAUGUUACUUGGGGGUAUAAAACAUGUUAAAAAGAAAUAUUGCAAGUUUAAAAAUAGUAGAAGGCCGGGUGCAGUAGCUCACACCUGUAAUCCCAGCACUUUGGGAGCCCAAGGCAGGAGGAUGCCUUGAGCCCAGGAGUUCAAGACCAGCCUAGACAACAUGACGAAACCCAGGUGUCUACAAAAAUACAAGAAGUCCCAGCUAUGGGAGGCCGAGGUGUAAGGACGGAUCGCUUGGUCCCAGGAGGUCCAGGCUGCAAUGAGCCAUGAUUGUACCACUGCACUGCAGCGUGGGUGACAGAGUGAGGCCCUGUCCUCCCUCCCUCACCACAAAGGAAAAAAAAAAAAAACAGUAGAAGACAAAUACAAGAGGUCAUACAUAGAGUGUUGGGUGUGUAGAGUCUGGGACACAGAAGAUAAAUCCUCAGUCUUGUCCAAGAUCAGGAGAAUAAGAAGACUCUACCCCCCUAAAACCAGAAGUCCAAAGGGCCAAAGUAAAGGCGAAUGUGAAAUUAACUGGCUUUGCAGAAGAGGAUCCCAGGAAAAAUCGUCUGUCUUGAUCAAAGCCCUGAAUAAAAGAGUAUAAAAAAUAUUCUUCCUUGAAAAUUCACAACUAUGGUGUGGUCCGUAUGUAAUAUUAUGACCAAAAUUCAUGAUACCAUGGAAUUAUUUUAAAAACUUCAUGAGCCCCAGUUUGUGGUGCUUUUAACAACUGGCAGAAGGAAAGACACAUCCUCUUGGAGGGCUAUCUUGAGCCUAGGCCCCAAAGAACUUCCAUAAUCAUAAUCAGAAAACACAAAACAUAUAAUAAGCAAGGCUCCAUGUAGGAGCAGACAGAAACAAAAUGUAAGGUCAGAUACACAAAGGCUGGGGUAUGAGAAUAAGCUGACACAGAAAAUAAGUGUACUUAAUAGGUUUAAACAAAAAGGAAGUUUGAAAAUAGAAGAAAGGAACAAGAGUCUAUAAAAAACAACUGAGUAGAUUUGAAAUCAAAAUACUUCUUUGUUUUUCUUCCCAGCUAGAUAUUAUGUCCUUGAAGACACAGGGAUCAGGCUAAACACUAUAUGUUAUCGUUUGUCAAUUGAAGGAAGUUAGAAACAAAGUACUCAAUUUUUUUUGAAACCCAGCAGUAAGAAUGAGAGUUGUGACUACAUUUUUAAAAUGUAAAUGUAAAAACUCCUGUUGUAAAUGUUAAUCAAUCUCUUCUAGAGGAAAGGAAGACAAAAUCAAAAUUAAUGCAAUGCUUCCGGCUGACUGGCCUCCAGCAAAUGGCAUUGAGCUUUGUAAGUGGUCCAUCUACUCCAUUUCUCAUCUUGCAAA